rnacentral:rRNA from 1 species
GUACACUCCUGCGGGAGGCAGCAGUGGGGAAUUUUGGACAAUGGGCGAAAGCCUGAUCCAGCAAUGCCGCGUGAGUGAAGAAGGCCUUCGGGUUGUAAAGCUCUUUUGUCAGGGAAGAAACGGUGAAAGCUAAUAUCUUUUGCUAAUGACGGUACCUGAAGAAUAAGCACCGGCUAACUACGUGCCAGCAGCCGCGGUAAUACGUAGGGUGCAAGCGUUAAUCGGAAUUACUGGGCGUAAAGCGUGCGCAGGCGGUUUUGUAAGUCUGAUGUGAAAUCCCCGGGCUCAACCUGGGAAUUGCAUUGGAGACUGCAAGGCUAGAAUCUGGCAGAGGGGGGUAGAAUUCCACGUGUAGCAGUGAAAUGCGUAGAUAUGUGGAGGAACACCGAUGGCGAAGGCAGCCCCCUGGGUCAAGAUUGACGCUCAUGCACGAAAGCGUGGGGAGCAAACAGGAUUAGAUACCCUUGUAGUCCC